GGGCCCGCACAAGCGGUGGAGCAUGUGGUUUAAUUCGAUGAUACGCGAGGAACCUUACCAGGGCUUAAAUGUAACGGGACAGAUCUAGAGAUAGAUCCUUCUUCGGACUCAUUACAAGGUGCUGCAUGGUUGUCGUCAGCUCGUGCCGUGAGGUGUCAGGUUAAGUCCUAUAACGAGCGCAACCCCAUCGUUAGUUGCCAACGAGUAAUGUCGGGAACUCUAACGAAACUGCGGUGCAAAACCGUGAGGAAGGUGGGGAUGACGUCAAAUCAUCACGGCCCUUACGUCCUGGGGCUACACACGUGCUACAAUGGUCGGUACAGAGAGCAGCCACUACGCGAGUAGGAGC
rnacentral:rRNA from 1 species